rnacentral:other from 1 species
GACACCCUGCGGUGCCCGUGAUCCCUGUGAGGUUCUGAGCCAACACCUAUAGAAAGGGAGCCUAACUCCGGGCGUGGACUGCAGGCCCUGGUAUCGGGGAAGCGGGAAGCGCUCGGGAGGGCACCCACCUGGAGGACCGGGUUCAUUGAACACACGGGGCACACGGCACCGCGGGGUUUUG